AAUUGGGGUUCUUUGAUAUGCCGAAUCUAACUGUGUAUGUAGAUUCUUAAUUUUUGGUCCCGUUUUCAAAUUGGUCUACAUUAAGGUCCAAAGGGUCCAAAAUUAAACUUAGUUUGAUUUUAACAAAAAUUGAAUCCGUGGGGUUCUUUGAUAUGCUGAAUCUAAAAAUGUACUUAGAUUUUUUAUUAUUGGCCCAGUUUUCAAGUUGGUCCAAAUCGGGGUCCAAAAUUAAACUUUGUUUGAUUUCAUCAAAAAUUGAAUAAUUUGGGUUCUUUGAUAUGCUGAAUCUAAAAAUGUACUUAGAUUUUUUAUUAUUGGCCCAGUUUUCAAGUUGGUCCAAAUCGGGGUCCAAAAUUAAACU
rnacentral:lncRNA from 1 species